rnacentral:rRNA from 1 species
GACGAACGCUGGCGGCGUGCUUAACACAUGCAAGUCGAGCGGUAAGGCCCUUUCGGGGGUACACGAGCGGCGAACGGGUGAGUAACACGUGGGUGACCUGCCCUUAGCUCUGGGAUAAGCCUGGGAAACUGGGUCUAAUACCGGAUAUGACCUCAUGACUCAUGUUGUGGGGUGGAAAGCCUUGUGCGGCUAGGGAUGGGCCCGCGGUCUAUCAGCUUGUUGGUGGGGUAAUUGCCUACCAAGGCGACGACGGGUAGCCGGCCUGAGAGGGCGACCGGCCACACUGGGACUGAGACACGGCCCAGACUCUACCGGGAGGCAGCAGUGGGGAAGUCUUGCGCAAUGGGCGGAAAGCCUGACGCAGCGACGCCGCGUGAGGGAUGACGGCCU